AGCGAACGCUGGCGGCAUGCUUAACACAUGCAAGUCGCGCGGGUGGUUUCUGCCAUCUUCGGCUGACGGGUGAGUAUCCCGUUGGAAUGUAUCCCGAGGUCGGGGCCUACCCUUUGAUACUGGUUCUCAUACCGCAUGUUACCUGUGUGUCAAAGCCUUCGGUCGCCUUGGGAGCAGGCUGCGUCCGAUUAGGUAGGUGGUGGGGUAAAGGCCUACCAAUCCUGCGUUCGGUAGCUGCUCUGCGAGGACGAUCAGACACACUGGGACUGAGACACGGCCCAGAAUCGUACGGGAGGGAGGAGUGGGGAAUAUUGGACAAUGGGGGCAAGCCUGAUCCAGCAAUGCGGGGUAGGUGAAGAAGGUCGUAGGAUUGUAAAGCCGUUUCGGCGGGGACGAUGAUGACGGUACCCGCAGAAGAAGCACCGGCUAACUUCGUG
rnacentral:rRNA from 1 species